UACGGAGGGUGCAAGCGUUAUCCGGAUUCACUGGGUUUAAAGGGUGCGUAGGAGGAAAGGUAAGUCAGUGGUGAAAUCUCCAAGCUUAACUUGGAAACUGCCGUUGAUACUAUCUUUCUUGAAUACCGUGGAGGUGAGCGGAAUAUGUCAUGUAGCGGUGAAAUGCUUAGAUAUGACAUAGAACACCAAUUGCGAAGGCAGCUCGCUACACGAAUAUUGACUCUGAAGCACGAAAGCGUGGGGAGCAAACAGG
rnacentral:rRNA from 1 species